rnacentral:rRNA from 1 species
GUAGGGAGCAAGCGUUGUUCGGAAUCAUUGGGCGUAAAGAGCGCGUAGGUGGUUUGGUAAGUCUGUUGUGAAAUCCCAUAGCUCAACUGUGGAACUGCGACGGAAACUGCCAGACUUGAGUGCGGGAGAGGAAAGUGGAAUUCCCAGUGUAGAGGUGAAAUUCGUAGAUACUGGGAGGAACACCGGUGGCGAAGGCGGCUUUCUGGACCGCAACUGACGCUGAGGCGCGAAAGCUAAGGGGAGCAAACGGGGGAUUAGAUACCCCGGUAGUCCUAGCCGUAAACGAUGGGCACUAGGUGUGGGGGGUAUCGACCCCCCUUCUGUGCCGUAGCUAACGCAUUAAGUGCCCCCGCCUGGGGAGUACGGUCGCAAGACUA